UCAAACAAAAACCUUCCUGAUUUCCCACUGAAGCUAAGCAGGGUUGAGCCUGGCCAGUACCUGGAUGGGAGACCUCCUGGGGAAAACUAAGGUUGCUGUUGGAA
rnacentral:rRNA from 1 species